rnacentral:rRNA from 1 species
AACACGUAAAGAACCUGCCUCAUAGACUGGGACAACUAUUGGAAACGAUAGCUAAUACCGGAUAACAGCAUUAACUGCAUGGUUGAUGUUUAAAAGUUGGUUUUGCUAACACUAUGAGAUGGCUUUGCGGUGCAUUAGCUAGUUGGUGGGGUAAAGGCCUACCAAGGCGACGAUGCAUAGCCGACCUGAGAGGGUGAUCGGCCACACUGGGACUGAGACACGGCCCAGACUCCUACGGGAGGCAGCAGAC